rnacentral:misc_RNA from 1 species
UCCGAGUUGUCCCCGGCAGUCCUUUUAGAGUCCCCGACAUUACCCGCUGGCAACUAAAAGCAGGGGUUGCGCUCGUUGCGGCACUUAAGCCAACACCUCACGGCACGAGCUGACGACAGCCAUGCAGCACCUGUGCUAGCCCCUUGCGGACACGGGCUUUCACCCGCUUUAACUAGCAUGUCAAGCCUAGGUAAGGUGGGGAUGACGUUUCUUACAGCGUAC